rnacentral:rRNA from 1 species
GACGGAGGAUGCAAGUGUUAUCCGGAAUCACUGGGCGUCAAGCGUCUGUAGGUGGUUUAAAAAGUCUACUGUUAAAAAUUGAAGCUUAACUUCAAAGAUGCCGUAGAAACUUUUAAACUCGAGGAUGGUAGGGGUAGAGGGAAUUUCCAGUGGAGCGGUGAAAUGCGUAGAUCUUGGAAAGACCACCAAUGGCGAAGGCACUCUACUGGGCCAUUACUGAGACUAAGAGACGAAAGCUAGGGGAGCAAAUGGG